rnacentral:rRNA from 1 species
GAUGAACGCUGGCGGCGUGCCUAAUACAUGCAAGUCGAGCGAAUGGAUUAAGAGCUUGCUCUUAUGAAGUUAGCGGCGGACGGGUGAGUAACACGUGGGUAUCCUGCCCAUAAGACUGGGAUAACUCCGGGAAACCGGGGCUAAUACCGGAUAACAUUUUGAACCGCAUGGUUCGAAAUUGAAAGGCGGCUUCGUCUGUCACUUAUGGAUGGACCCGCGUCGCAUUAGCUAGUUGGUGAGGUAACGGGUCACCAAGGCAACGAGGCGUAGCCGACCUGAGAGGGUGAUCAGCCACACUGGGACAGAGACACGGCCCAGACUCCUACGGGAGGCAGCAGUAGGGAAUCUUCCGAAAUGGACGAAAGUCUGACGGAGCAACGCCGCGUGAGUGAUGAAGGCUUUCGGGUCGUAAAACUCUGUUGUUAGGGAAGAACAAGUGCUAGUUGAAUAAGCUGGCACCUUGACGGUACCUAACCAGAAAGCCACGGCUAACUACGUGCCAGCCGCCGCCAUAA